rnacentral:rRNA from 1 species
GGGUGAGUAAUGCCUGGGAUAUGCCUUGAUGUGAGGGAUAACCAUUGGAAACGAUGGCUAAUACCGCAUAAUGCCUACUGGCCAAAGAGGGGGAUCUUCGGACCUCUCGCGUCAAGAUUAGCCCAGGUGGGAUUAGCUAGUUGGUGAGGUAAUGGCUCACCAAGGCGACGAUCCCUAGCUGGUCUGAGAGGAUGAUCAGCCACACUGGAACUGAGACACGGUCCAGACUCCUACGGGGAGGCAGCAGUGGGGGAAUAUUGCACAAUGGGGCGGCAAGCCUGAUGCAGCCAUGCCGCGUGUGUGAAGAAGGCCCUUCGGGUGUAAAGCACUUUCAGUCGUGAGGAAGGUAGUUGCGUUAAUAGCGUAAUUAUUUGACGUUAGCGACAGAAGAAGCACCGGCUAACUCCGUGCCAGCAGCCGCGGUAAUACGGAGGGUGCGAGCGUUAAUCGGAAUUACUGGGCGUAAAGCGCAUGCAGGUGGGUUUGUUAAGUCAGAUGUGAAAGCCCGGGGCUCAACCUCGGAAUUGCAUUUGAAACUGGCAGACUAGAGUACUGUAGAGGGGGGUAGAAUUUCAGGUGUAGCGGUGAAAUGCGUAGAGAUCUGAAGGAAUACCGGUGGCGAAGGCGGCCCCCUGGACAGAUACUGACACUCAGAUGCGAAAGCGUGGGGAGCAAACAGGAUUAGAUACCCUGGUAGUCCACGCCGUAAACGAUGUCUACUUGGAGGUUGUGGCCUUGAGCCGUGGCUUUCGGAGCUAACGCGUUAAGUAGACCGCCUGGGGAGUACGGUCGCAAGAUUAAAACUCAAAUGAAUUGACGGGGGCCCGCACAAGCGGUGGAGCAUGUGGUUUAAUUCGAUGCAACGCGAAGAACCUUACCUACUCUUGACAUCCAGAGAAGCCAGCGGAGACGCAGGUGUGCCUUCGGGAACUCUGAGACAGGUGCUGCAUGGCUGUCGUCAGCUCGUGUUGUGAAAUGUUGGGUUAAGUCCCGCAACGAGCGCAACCCUUAUCCUUGUUUGCCAGCGAGUAAUGUCGGGAACUCCAGGGAGACUGCCGGUGAUAAACCGGAGGAAGGUGGGGACGACGUCAAGUCAUCAUGGCCCUUACGAGUAGGGCUACACACGUGCUACAAUGGCGCAUACAGAGGGCUGCCAACCAGCGAUGGUGAGCGAAUCCCAAAAAGUGCGUCGUAGUCCGGAUUGGAGUCUGCAACUCGACUCCAUGAAGUCGGCAAUCGCUAGUAAUC